AACGAACGCUGGCGGCAGGCUUAACACAUGCAAGUCGAGCGCCCCUCCUUCAAGCGAGCUUGAAGGAGCCCUUGUUGAGGGGGUUCAAGAAAGCCUUGAGGCUUUCUUGAUGGAGGGGAGCGGCGGACGGGUGAGUAACGCGUGGGAACGUGCCCUGAGGUACGGAAUAACUGAGGGAAACUUCAGCUAAUACCGUAUGAGCCCCUAACGGGGGAAAGAUUUAUCGCCUUGGGAGCGGCCCGCGUCGGAUUAGCUAGUUGGUGGGGUAACGGCCUACCAAGGCUUCGAUCCGUAGCUGGUCUGAGAGGACGAUCAGCCACACUGGGACUGAGACACGGCCCAGACUCCUACGGGAGGCAGCAGUGGGGAAUCUUGCGCAAUGGGCGAAAGCCUGACGCAGCCAUGCCGCGUGAAUGAUGAAGGCCUUAGGGUUGUAAAGUUCUUUUACCCGUGACGAUGAUGACGGUAACGGGGAAUAAGCUCCGGCAAACUUCGUGCCAGCAGCCGCGGUAAUUGACG
rnacentral:rRNA from 1 species